rnacentral:rRNA from 1 species
AUGCUGACAUAAGUAACGAUAAAGCGGGUGAAAAGCCCGCUCGCCGGAAGACCAAGGGUUCCUGUCCAACGUUAAUCGGGGCAGGGUGAGUCGACCCCUAAGGCGAGGCCGAAAGGCGUAGUCGAUGGGAAACAGGUUAAUAUUCCUGUACUUGGUGUUACUGCGAAGGGGGGACGGAGAAGGCUAUGUUGGCCGGGCGACGGUUGUCCCGGUUUAAGCGCGUAGGCUGAUUUUCCAGGCAAAUCCGGAAAAUCAAGGCUGAGGCGUGAUGACGAGGCACUACGGUGCUGAAGCAACAAAUGCCCUGCUUCCAGGAAAAGCCUCUAAGCAUCAGGUAACAUCAAAUCGUACCCCAAACCGACACAGGUGGUCAGGUAGAGAAUACCAAGGCGCUUGAGAGAACUCGGGUGAAGGAACUAGGCAAAAUGGUGCCGUAACUUCGGGAGAAGGCACGCUGAUAUGUAGGUGAAGUCCCUCGCGGAUGGAGCUGAAAUCAGUCGAAGAUACCAGCUGGCUGCAACUGUUUAUUAAAAACACAGCACUGUGCAAACACGAAAGUGGACGUAUACGGUGUGACGCCUGCCCGGUGCCGGAAGGUUAAUUGAUGGGGUCAGCGCAAGCGAAGCUCUUGAUCGAAGCCCCGGUAAACGGCGGCCGUAACUAUAACGGUCCUAAGGUAGCGAAAUUCCUUGUCGGGUAAGUUCCGACCUGCACGAAUGGCGUAAUGAUGGCCAGGCUGUCUCCACCCGAGACUCAGUGAAAUUGAACUCGCUGUGAAGAUGCAGUGUACCCGCGGCAAGACGGAAAGACCCCGUGAACCUUUACUAUAGCUUGACACUGAACAUUGAGCCUUGAUGUGUAGGAUAGGUGGGAGGCUUUGAAGUGUGGACGCCAGUCUGCAUGGAGCCGGCCUUGAAAUACCACCCUUUAAUGUUUGAUGUUCUAACGUGGACCCGUAAUCCGGGUUGCGGACAGUGUCUGGUGGGUAGUUUGACUGGGGCGGUCUCCUCCUAAAGAGUAACGGAGGAGCACGAAGGUUGGCUAAUCCUGGUCGGACAUCAGGAGGUUAGUGCAAUGGCAUAAGCCAGCUUGACUGCGAGCGUGACGGCGCGAGCAGGUGCGAAAGCAGGUCAUAGUGAUCCGGUGGUUCUGAAUGGAAGGGCCAUCGCUCAACGGAUAAAAGGUACUCCGGGGAUAACAGGCUGAUACCGCCCAAGAGUUCAUAUCGACGGCGGUGUUUGGCACCUCGAUGUCGGCUCAUCACAUCCUGGGGCUGAAGUAGGUCCCAAGGGUAUGGCUGUUCGCCAUUUAAAGUGGUACGCGAGCUGGGUUUAGAACGUCGUGAGACAGUUCGGUCCCUAUCUGCCGUGGGCGCUGGAGAACUGAGGGGGGCUGCUCCUAGUACGAGAGGACCGGAGUGGACGCAUCACUGGUGUUCGGGUUGUCAUGCCAAUGGCACUGCCCGGUAGCUAAAUGCGGAAGAGAUAAGUGCUGAAAGCAUCUAAGCACGAAACUUGCCCCGAGAUGAGUUCUCCCUGACCCUUUAAGGGUCCUGAAGGAACGUUGAAGACGACGACGUUGAUAGGCCGGGUGUGUAAGCGCAGCGAUGCGUUGAGCUAACCGGUACUAAUGAACCGUGAGGCUUAACCUUACAACGCCGAAG